UCCCGCGUUCUUUUCUCGCCCGGCCUGAGAGGCGUCGUGGGUCUCUUGCAAUUGCGGCUCCUUUGCAUCAGGCCGCGGCGGGAGGCGGGGAAGAUGGCGGGGCGCAAGAAGAAGCUGGCGGGCGAAGGGAACGAAAGCCGGGCCCUCCCGCAGGAAGCCCAGCAGCCGAAGGGAAGGCCCGGAGGCCUUGCCCGUGAAGGGUAUAUGCAGGGGCGCAGGGCACAGACCCAAGGGAUAACUUGUUUGCUUACAAAAAAUGGCCUGUGAUGAAAUUGUUUUUGCAGAAGUGAUUCUGCUGAAUGAGAGAAAUGUAGUGUCUGAAGCAGCAGCUCUUCCGUUAGAAAACAAUGAAAGAAAACGCCAUAUUGGUAAAGUGACUUGUGGCUGACUUCACUGAAGAAUAAUCUUGUGAUGUCUAAUUUAUCCUGAAAAUAUCUGGCUUCAACUUCAUACUUGACCAUGAAUUUUUCUGAGUAUUUGCCUUGUGCCCUAGAGCUACGAGGAAAAAAUACUGGAUUUUAUUCAUAGAUAAAAUGGACUUGGAUCCACUGUUGGGGCAGAUCAUACAGGUAUAUUGGCCAUCUGCUUGUCCUGUUUUGUUUUUUCAUCUUGUAGAUUUCAGAAAUGUAGAUGUAAAAUAGAUGCUCACCAUGUUUUGUUCACCUUCCCCCCCUUUGUCUGAUAAAAUUGGUCUGGGAGGGAUUGCACCUAAUGAAAAUGGCUUAUUUUUCCUCCUCGCUUCAAAAGAAAUUGAUUGGAGGGCAGGGAUGAACUAUUCUGUAUGACAAAUGGAUAUCCACAAGCAUUUAUUACAAGAUUCCUGUGCAGCACGCAGGGAAGAAGAAAGAAGGCAGAGGACCAACUUUAUGGCACACUACCAUACAUCAAAAACAUUUCACAAACAGUAGAAUGCAAGCAGGCAUUGCACACCGCCCAAAGGCUACCAUAUGAGGACAGAUCAUGCAUUGUAAAGAUCAGUUGAAGGGGGAGAUAUUUCCAAUGUAAUCUACCAGAUCCCCUCUGGUAGGGCAGAUGGGGAGGAAGCUAACUACUAGAUUGCAAGAACAUAAGUAAGUGGUCAGACACGGAGAUCCAAACUCAUUGGGAGUCUCACAUUGCAAUGAACAAGGACAUAAAUUGAAUUUUAUACCAUUAAGAUUGUUGGCUGAGCAGUACAAAAAUAGUGAAAUUAUUGAAGCCUGGGAAAUGGAUCCCUAGUCAGUCAAAAGGAGUGCCAAUUUAUCAGCUUAUUAGGCACUUAGAUGAAGAACAAGGACUUGGCAAUAGAAGGAAACAAAAUCAAUUUAAUGCCCCAAUCAACAAUCAAUGCCACACACAACCAGGCACCACAUAAAUACUAUGCAUCUAAUAGCCCAUUCUGGUGAGAGGGAAGUUCCCCGAGGAUGGACUCCAUCAGGAGUCUCUAAACCUGGAAGACUAAUCUGGUCCUGGUGAUUGACCCAGUUUGGAUCAUGUAUUCUACAUAGUUUUAUACUGCUUUUUAUUAAUAAUGUUCACAUAUUGUUUCUUGGCUGCCCAGUUAAGAUGAACAGCUGUAUGAUUUUCUGAAAUAAACAAAUCUCUAGUUCUA